UCGUGUCGUGAGAUGUUGGGUUAAGUCCCGCAACGAGCGCAACCCUUAUUAUCAGUUGCCAGCAUUAAGUUGGGCACUCUGGUGAGACUGCCGGUGACAAACCGGAGGAAGGUGGGGAUGACGUCAAAUCAUCAUGCCCCUUAUGACCUGGGCUACACACGUGCUACAAUGGACGGUACAACGAGUUGCGAAGUCGUGAGGCUAAGCUAAUCUCUUAAAGCCGUUCUCAGUUCGGAUUGUAGGCUGCAACUCGCCUACAUGAAGUUGGAAUCGCUAGUAAUCGCGGAUCAGCAUGCCGCGGUGAAUACGUUCCCGGGCCUUGUACACACCGCCCGUCACACCAUGAGAGUUUGUAACACCCAAAGCCGGUGAGAUAACCUUCGGGAGUCAGCCGUCUAAGGUGGGACAGAUGAUUAGGGUGAAGUCGUAACAAGGUAGCCGUAGGAGAACCUGCGGCUGGAUCACCUCCUUU
rnacentral:ncRNA from 1 species